UCCUCGGUGGCUCAGCUGGAUAGAGCAUGUGCCCUUUAAGCAGGAGAACCCGGGUUCGAGUCCCGGUCGGGGCA